GGAUAACAUACCCUUAGGACUGGGAUAACCUUGGGAAACUGAGGAUAAUACCGGAUAGGCAAUUUUUCCUGUAAUGGUUCUUUGUUUAAAUGUUUUUUCGCCUAAGGAUGGGUCUGCGGCCGAUUAGGUAGUUGGUUAGGUAAUGGCUUACCAAGCCGUUGAUCGGUACGGGUUGUGAGAGCAAGAGCCCGGAGAUGGAACCUGAGACAAGGUUCCAGGCCCUACGGGGCGCAGCAGGCGCGAAACCUCCACAAUGUGAGAAAUCGCGAUGGGGGGAUCCCAAGUGCCAUUCUUAACGGGAUGGCUUUUCAUUAGUGUAAAAAGCUUUUGGAGUAAGAGCUGGGCAAGACCGGUGCCAGCCGCCGCGGUAACACCGGCAGCUCUAGUGGUAGCAACUUUUAUUGGGCCUAAAGCGUCCGUAGCCGGUUUAAUAAGUCUCUGGUGAAAUCCUGUAGCUUAACUGUGGGAAUUGCUGGAGAUACUAUUAGACUUGAGACCGGGAGAGGUUGGAGGUACUCCCAGGGUAGAGGUGAAAUUCUGUAAUCCUGGGAGGACCGCCUGUUGCGAAGGCGUCUAACUGGAACGGUUCUGACGGUGAGGGACGAAAGUUAGGGGCGCGAACCGGAUUAGAUACCCGGGUAGUCCUAACUGUAAACGAUGCGGACUUGGUGUUGGGGUGGCUUUGAGCUGCUCCAGUGCCGAAGGGAAGCUGUUAAGUCCGCCGCCUGGGAAGUACGGUCGCAAGACUGAAACUUAA
rnacentral:rRNA from 1 species